UUGAGCCCAUACCGGAGUAGGUUUUUGGGCUCACCCUGACCGUGGUUCUCCCAUGCUUCCAACAAAUAUACUCUCUUCUUCCCAGUGGAGAAAUGUUCCCAUAUAUGUCCGGGAAGAAUCUCCGGCAACUCCGAGUUCAAGUCUUCUUUUGUGGAUACAAAACCUAAAUCUAUAAACUCUUUUGUCUCCUCACCUUCUAAAUCGGACACACACUCUCUUCUCUCACUCCUUCUUCCUCUGCUCUGUUGAUAGUGAUCUUCCCUCCUUCAACAUGCUCCUCUGGUUCCCCGUGCCUCCAACAAAUUUUCUGACCUCUCGCUUAUUUACAUCUUUCGAUACCUCAAGAAUGUA
rnacentral:lncRNA from 1 species